GAUGAACGCUGGCGGCGUGCCUAAUACAUGCAAGUCGAGCGAACGGACGAGAAGCUUGCUUCUCUGAUGUUAGCGGCGGACGGGUGAGUAACACGUGGAUAACCUACCUAUAAGACUGGGAUAACUUCGGGAAACCGGAGCUAAUACCGGAUAAUAUUUUGAACCGCAUGGUUCAAAAGUAAAAGACGGUCUUGCUGUCACUUAUAGAUGGAUCCACGCUGCAUUAGCUAGUUGGUAAGGUAACGGCUUACCAAGGCAACGAUGCAUAGCCGACCUGAGAGGGUGAUCGGCCACACUGGAACUGAGACACGGUCCAGACUCCUACGGGAGGCAGCAGUAGGGAAUCUUCCGCAAUGGGCGAAAGCCUGACGGAGCAACGCCGCGUGAGUGAUGAAGGUCUUCGGAUCGUAAAACUCUGUUAUUAGGGAAGAACAUAUGUGUAAGUAACUGUGCACAUCUUGACGGUACCUAAUCAGAAAGCCACGGCUAACUACGUGCCAGCAGCCGCGGUAAUACGUAGGUGGCAAGCGUUAUCCGGAAUUAUUGGGCGUAAAGCGCGCGUAGGCGGUUUUUUAAGUCUGGUGUGAAAGCCCACGGCUCAACCGUGGAGGGUCAUUGGAAACUGGAAAACUUGAGUGCAGAAGAGGAAAGUGGAAUUCCAUGUGUAGCGGUGAAAUGCGCAGAGAUAUGGAGGAACACCAGUGGCGAAGGCGACUUUCUGGUCUGUAACUGACGCUGAUGUGCGAAAGCGUGGGGAUCAAACAGGAUUAGAUACCCUGGUAGUCCACGCCGUAAACAAUGAGUGCUAAGUGUUAGGGGGUUUCCGCCCCUUAGUGCUGCAGCUAACGCAUUAAGCACUCCGCCUGGGGAGUACGACCGCAAGGUUGAAACUCAAAGGAAUUGACGGGGACCCGCACAAGCGGUGGAGCAUGUGGUUUAAUUCGAAGCAACGCGAAGAACCUUACCAAAUCUUGACAUCCUUUGACAACUCUAGAGAUAGAGCCUUCCCCUUCGGGGGACAAAGUGACAGGUGGUGCAUGGUUGUCGUCAGCUCGUGUCGUGAGAUGUUGGGUUAAGUCCCGCAACGAGCGCAACCCUUAAGCUUAGUUGCCAUCAUUAAGUUGGGCACUCUAAGUUGACUGCCGGUGACAAACCGGAGGAAGGUGGGGAUGACGUCAAAUCAUCAUGCCCCUUAUGAUUUGGGCUACACACGUGCUACAAUGGACAAUACAAAGGGCAGCGAAACCGCGAGGUCAAGCAAAUCCCAUAAAGUUGUUCUCAGUUCGGAUUGUAGUCUGCAACUCGACUACAUGAAGCUGGAAUCGCUAGUAAUCGUAGAUCAGCAUGCUACGGUGAAUACGUUCCCGGGUCU
rnacentral:rRNA from 1 species